UACGUAGGGUGCGAGCGUUAAUCGGAUUACUGGGCGUAAAGCGUGCGUAGACGGGUUAUGUAAGUCGGGGUGUGAAAGCCCCGGGGCUCAACCCUGGGGAAUUGCAUUCGAGACUGCAUAGCUAGGGUGCGGGAAGAGGGAAGCGGGAAUUUCCCGGGUGUAGCGGGUGAAAUGCGUAGAUAUCGGGAAGGGAACACCCAGUGGCGGAAAGC
rnacentral:rRNA from 1 species